rnacentral:rRNA from 1 species
AUUGCGGGGUGUGAUUACAGAUGGACUUGGAAGGCCAAAAUUCCCUUGAAGAUCCAAAUAUUUUUAUGGCAAUUAUUCCAGGAUGCUAUCUUGACUAGAUGUGUAAUGAAGCAUUGGGGAUGGAAAGGAAAUCCCAAGUGCUUGUUUUAUGGGGAACGAGAAACCUCGCAACAUCUAUUUUUCACAUGCCCGGUAGCUAGGGUGACUUGGAGAACGGUUGCAUGCAUGUUUGUCAUUGAACUAUGUCCUGAUAAUAUUUGGCAAGCUUAUGUGUGGUGUUUCACUUUCUUCCCUGGUGGAGAAGUAUUUUACAGAGAUGGAUCUGAACAUAUAAUAUUCCACCAAAUAAACCAACUAGCAUCAACUAGAAUAUGUAAUCAACACUACUAG